rnacentral:rRNA from 1 species
GACAGAGGAUGCAAGCGUUAUCCGGAAUGAUUGGGCGUAAAGCGUCUGUAGGUGGCUUUUUAAGUCCGCCGUCAAAUCCCAGGGCUCAACCCUGGACAGGCGGUGGAAACUACCAAGCUGGAGUACGGUAGGGGCAGAGGGAAUUUCCGGUGGAGCGGUGAAAUGCGUAGAGAUCGGGAAGAACGCCAAGGGCGAAGGCACUCUGCUGGGCCGACACUGACACUGAGAGACGAAAGCUAGGGGGAGCGAAUGGG